rnacentral:rRNA from 1 species
GAGGGCCCUCUGGGUCCAACCUCCCACCCGUGUCUAUCGUACCUUGUUGCUUCGGCGGGCCCGCCGUUUCGACGGCCGCCGGGGAGGCCUUGCGCCCCCGGGCCCGCGCCCGCCGAAGACCCCAACAUGAACGCUGUUCUGAAAGUAUGCAGUCUGAGUUGAUUAUCGUAAUCAGUUAAAACUUUCAACAACGGAUCUCUUGGUUCCGGCAUCGAUGAAGAACGCAGCGAAAUGCGAUAAGUAAUGUGAAUUGCAGAAUUCAGUGAAUCAUCGAGUCUUUGAACGCACAUUGCGCCCCCUGGUAUUCCGGGGGGCAUGCCUGUCCGAGCGUCAUUGCUGCCCUCAAGCACGGCUUGUGUGUUGGGCCCCCGUCCCCCUCUCCCGGGGGACGGGCCCGAAAGGCAGCGGCGGCACCGCGUCCGGUCCUCGAGCGUAUGGGGCUUUGUCACCUGCUCUGUAGGCCCGGCCGGCGCCAGCCGACACCCAACUUUAUUUUUCUAAGGUUGACCUCGGAUCAGGUAGGGAUACCCGCUGAACUUAAGCAUAUCAAUAAG